UCUGAGACUAAAAACACUUUUGAACAUACACAUGACCCACCAAAACAAGUUCCUUCCCAGGGCUAUUUUGCAGCGGCACCGUGGCUCCAUGCAGUGCUUCACGCACCCCAAGACACUUGUGAUUGAUUUAAAGAAAUACCAAUAAACCAGAGCAGGUUUUUCUCCCAUCCCGGAAUGCUGGGUGGACUAGCCAGACCCUCCUGUGCAGCGCUGUGGAGGAAGGUCCGGCAAUAAGAGACUAGGGAAUAUGUGAUGUGUAUGAAAGCAAUGCAUCAAUCAUUUAGUUUGUUAUAACUUUCAUUUUGUGUUAGCCUUAGAACAAGCCAUUUCCCCAUCAGCUUCACAAAGAUUUCAAAAUGUGUAUUUAAGAUCUGGUUUAUUAUAAUCUCAGGACUGUCACACAAACAUAGAUAGCUCAGCACGCAGUAGAUCUCAGCAUGGCACAGUCAUAUACUGGAUGUUGUUUUUUUCAUAUUGCCACAAGGCCGCAGAUGUACACAAUUAAAGUUGUCCUAAAGUUGAAUCCUUGAAAUUUGUCUCUGAAACGAGACAAGGCACUCACAUUGACCCAGACAGUCAAAUUACACCCCAUGUUGUGCUGUCAGAACCGGUCCAGAAUCUAAAUAUAUCCAGUCAGAAAAAGCAUUAAGAAAAUGUGGAAGAGAAAAAAUUACCAACAGGACAUUUUCAUAUCAUAAAUUUGAGAAGUUCUUAAGUUUUUGGAAAUGUAAUAACAAUGCAUCAGAUACUGACGGCUUCUUUCUAAUUAAGCAAUGAAACACAAAAGAUUUAGAUGUUUUAUAAAUGGUCCACUCAGGUGUACGAGGUGUUUUGACAUUUUUUGGCAAACCACCCACUUGUUUUUGUCACUUAUACAUUUCCACAUUUUAAAUCACCCUUCUUCAAAAUUCAGACACACUGGGUUUGUCUCUAAAAGUUGCUUCCUUUAUGUGGGAAAUCACCGCGGUUUGCAAUAAAAGAGAGGGCCCUCGGAUUAAAAUCAUGGCGCAUAAUGUGGGAAGGCUGCUUUCUCGUUUCAGUUUCUACUACAUGCUUUUCUCUGCAGUGUGUGCACUUACUGACCCACAUGUAGACGUGUUUGGGUUCGCUGUAAAACUCUGACCUCUCCAGGCUGCCAGCUGGCGUUGCAUUCCUAAGACUUCAACGUUAUCUUCCUGACAGCAAACAGUCCGCUGAAGUGAUGCCACAUCCAGAAACAUCCAUUCUUAGUUUAUUCUAACAUUUAUUCUUAAUUUCUUUUAUUGCUUUUACUUGAUCCCUAUGCAAAAAAAAAAAUUUCUCACACUCCAUUGUAGAUGCUCCAUUUGUGCAGAUAUAUGCAAUAUUUUUCAAGCCAUUUGAUUAUAGACUAAAAAUGCCUAAACAUCUGUACAUCAUUUUGGAAAAACAUGAUAGUUGCCAAGGAAAACAAUCAUCCUGUAGAGCCAACAUCCUAUUUGGUUCCUAACGGUUCUCCGGGAGUCUUCAUCAUUCUGAAACCAGAACACAACACAUGUUGAGGAUGACUCAUUUUCACUCCUUUCACCUAUAGAAG